GCACUGUUGGGGAGUCCCACAAUAGGACGAAACGGCCGUCCAGUGC
rfam:Schistosoma curassoni strain Dakar, Senegal genome assembly, scaffold: SCTD_scaffold0007500